AUUUAUAUAGUUUAAUAAAAACAUUACAUUUUCACUGUAAAAAUAAAAAAAUUUUUUUAUAAAUA
rnacentral:tRNA from 1 species